UGGGGAAUUUUGGACAAUGGGCGCAAGCCUGAUCCAGCAAUGCCGCGUGAGUGAAGAAGGCCUUCGGGUUGUAAAGCUCUUUUGUCAGGGAAGAAACGGCUCCAGCUAAUAUCUGGGGCUAAUGACGGUACCUGAAGAAUAAGCACCGGCUAACUACGUGC
rnacentral:rRNA from 1 species